rnacentral:lncRNA from 1 species
GGUGGUCAAAAUUGCAUCCUUAGAUCAGAGAAUGGACACUAGAACUUCCGAGCCUGUAGCACUGAGCUCAGGUAUGACCUGGUGCCAUCUCACAGUGCCAAGGGGAACUGAAGAGAACAAAAUAUUCCAAAGAAUUUUAGCAGAACGGUAUUGUAAAAGAUAAGAUGAACAGAAUGAAACGCUUCUUUUAGCAUUCAAUGAGAUGGUGGUGGUACAGAGAUAAAAAGUGUAAAGUCAGGUGAAAAGAGCUGGGAUGGAGCCAGAAGACCUGAAAGUGAUCCAGCUCUGCACUGGCAUACCGCUGGAGCAGUGCAGUGGCCCUUGAGGCUUUUCUCAGCCCCUCUGCUUGCUUUGUGGUAGCAUCAUGGAGUAGUACACUGGAAUGGAGGAACCACAGGACAAGUAUGUUUUACAGAUGUGGAAACUGAGAACUGUCAUACAGUUUGGGGCAGAGCUGGGAUUCCAACUUCUGGCCUCCCUGUUCAAAGGAUGCUAUGGAUACUCCAGGCUGAAGUGGAAGGAGGUCUUACGAAGCAUGAUGAUAGAAUGUUCAAAAGAGAAUUCAAAGAGAAAUAUUCUGAGAUACAUGUGUCUCAAUCUGAAGAGCAGCUCAGAGAAGUUGGUAGAGUCCCAUUGUCAGAAACAAAGCAAAGCAAAAAAGUGGAAUAAGACCAACAUUCAGUAA